rnacentral:rRNA from 1 species
GCGUAGCACGCAGCUAUAAUGCAGUCGGACGGGAUCCGUCGGAGAGCUUGCUCGAAGACGGUGAGAGUGGCGCACGGGUGCGUAACGCGUGAGCAACCUACCUCUAUCAGGGGGAUAGCCUCUCGAAAGAGAGAUUAACACCGCAUAACAUAUCUGACCGGCAUCGGUUUGAUAUUAAAUAUUUAUAGGAUAGAGAUGGGCUCGCGUGACAUUAGCUAGUUGGUAGGGUAACGGCUUACCAAGGCGACGAUGUCUAGGGGCUCUGAGAGGAGAAUCCCCCACACUGGUACUGAGACACGGACCAGACUCCUACGGGAGGCAGCAGUAAGGAAUAUUGGUCAAUGGGCGGAAGCCUGAACCAGCCAUGCCGCGUGCAGGAUGACUGCCCUAUGGGUUGUAAACUGCUUUUGUCCAGGAAUAAACCUUUAUACGUGUAUCUAGCUGAAUGUACUGGAAGAAUAAGGAUCGGCUAACUCCGUGCCAGCAGCCGCGGUAAUACGGAGGAUCCGAGCGUUAUCCGGAUUUAUUGGGUUUAAAGGGUGCGUAGGCGGCCUAUUAAGUCAGGGGUGAAAUACGGUGGCUCAACCAUCGCAGUGCCUUUGAUACUGAUGGGCUUGAAUCCAUUUGAAGUGGGCGGAAUAAGACAAGUAGCGGUGAAAUGCAUAGAUAUGUCUUAGAACUCCGAUUGCGAAAGGCAGCUCACUAAGCUGGUAUUGACGCUGAUGCACGAAAGCGUGGGGAUCGAACAGGAUUAGAUACCCUGGUAGUCCACGCCCUAAACGAUGAUACUCGAUGUUGGCGAUAGACAGCCAGCGUCCAAGCGAAAGCGUUUAAGUUAUCCACCUUGGGGAGUACGCCCCGCAAGGGUGAAACUUCAAAGGAAUUUGACCGGGGGCCCGCCACAAGCGGAAGAAGCAUGUGUUAAUUCCGAUGAUUACCCGAGGAACCUUAACCCGGGCCUUGAAAAGUUAGUGGA